AUUGAACGCUGGCGGCAGGCCUAACACAUGCAAGUCGAGCGAGCGGCGGACGGGUGAGUAAUGUAUGGGGAUCUGCCCGAUAGAGGGGGAUAACUACUGGAAACGGUGGCUAAUACCGCAUAAUAUCGGAUGACACAAUAUGGGAUUAGCUAGUAGGUGGGGUAAAGGAUCACCUAGGCGACGAUCUCUAGCUGGUCUGAGAGGAUGCUCAGCCACACUGGGAACGAGACACGGCCCAGACGCCUACGGGAGGCAGCAGUGUGGAAUAUUGCACAAUGGGCGCAAGCCUGAUGCAGCCAUGCCGCGUGUAUGAAGAAGGCCUUAGGGUUGUAAAGUACUUUCAGCGGGGAGGCGUUACCCGCAGAAGACGCACCGGCUAACUCCGUGUCAGCAGCCGCGGUAAUAC
rnacentral:rRNA from 1 species